rnacentral:lncRNA from 1 species
UCCUGCUUAAGUGUGCAGCGGUACAAAGUGAUGCUCAAGUGUAAUCUGGUCAAGAACAUCAAGGGUAAGUCAAAGACUGUUUCAGAGAUAUGGAGCAUGAGUGACUUCAAGGGUUUGCAGUUGAUUCAAGGAGAAUUAUGUGGUAGCAAUUUCUGUUAGCAACAUGAAGGGUGAACAAAGGUUGUGUCGACAGUCUGUCCAGCAGUGAUGGUUGGAUGGCGGGUCAUGUUCAGAGUAACAGCGGUACAAAAGGUGUUCAAGGCUGGAGUGUUUUAAACAAGUAGAGAAUCAGAGGUUUUUUCAGGUCUGAAGCAUAUGUGAUUCGAAGGUUGUUGCACAAUAUUCAAGGAAUUUGAAUCCAAGGUGGAGCUUUCAGACAAGAAUCGAAGCUCAAAGGCAAAAGGAGAAAUUUGCAGACUUGACCGGGUCAGAACUUCAUGCUUGAACAAGUCAGGGUUCAGGUUUAGUUACAGCUUGAGAAACUCGUCAUGAGUUCGAGUUUUGACACGAAAGAAGCUGUAAUGGAGUAUCUCAGGAGCAUCACAGGGUUGGAUGAUGAGAGAUACAGUGAAAGGCCGACAUGAACAAUGAACAGUUGCAGAAACUUAGUUACAGAGACAUGGUACUUCUAAAGGGUUAUUUUAUUCAGGUGGAGCCACUGAGAUUAUAUAAGGAUUGAUGCAUCAGAGAUAUAUAUAAUCUGAUUCCAGAUGGAGUGAGUCACUGAAGGGGUAAAAGGUUCGGUUAGCAACAUGGUCAGCUCAAGGGAGUAAGAGCUGGAAGGAAAGGUUAUUCCAUGACAAGAGGGUCGUGGAUAUGUUCAGUGUAUCAAGGCCAGGAGUGUCAAGGUCAGUUAACAAGUACAAGCCGCAUCAUUAGGAGAUUUGUAAGAGGAGUCUUACAUAAGGGAACUUGUCGGCGAGAUAAGUAAAUCGGCAUAUGUAUCAUGAGUACACUGCAGUGAGGUUGAUACAGAGGACCAUAAAAUCAGAGCCGAGUAUGAUGCAAGAUAACACGUGGUUAAACUGAAGGGAAGUAAGUAUCAAGAGAAGAGAUACUGAAAUAUUGAACAGUGAAGAUGAAGAAUGGUGAGAUGAAACAAAAUAAGAAACUGUUAGAAGACAUUGCAGGGAUUGCAGGGAAUUGUCUUAUAGUUUUUCCAUCUCAAGAAGGGUAAGACUUGUUCUUCACAAGCAGGCUCAUCUUAAGCUCGAAUCAUGGAACUGAAAGAAGGUUUCAUGAAGGUCUAAAUUCAAGGAAAAAACGAUUGCAUUUUAGAGAAAAUGAACCAGUGGAGUUCUGGAUAUAUGGUCGCAUCACAGGGGAAUAUUGAGGCAGUGUCCUCAGGAAAUUCCAUUAGCAAAUGGCCAGACACUCAUCAAUGGCCAAGUACUCAUCAAGCUAAUGGCGGGUUCAAAGACUAACAGGCGUGUUCAAGUCGUUGAUGGUGAUGCACAUGUUUCGGUGUUUGGAGACAUAUUAAUACAAGAAGGGUAUUGAGAUAAUGAAUUCACAGCUGAGAAAAGAAGGGAUAUCAGGGAUCCUAGAUAAAGAUUUCACAGACAGCUCGUGAGGAGAGCCAAUGCGUAUCAUGGAUUCGAUGGUAUGAGGCUCAGUUCAUUCAACUAGCAGUGGGGUCUAAAUCUUUUAGUGGAGGUUCUGUUAUUGCAGAACAGUUUGAUCAGAUGGUGGAGCAAAGAUAUUUGUGUCGAUAGUCUUCCUAAUCAUACGGUUUUAGGCGGCGUGUCCUGCUUAAGUGUGCAGCGGUACAAAGUGAUGCUCAAGUGUAAUCUGGUCAAGAACAUCAAGGGUAAGUCAAAGACUGUUUCAGAGAUAUGGAGCAUGAGUGACUUCAAGGGUUUGCAGUUGAUUCAAGGAGAAUUAUGUGGUAGCAAUUUCUGUUAGCAACAUGAAGGGUGAACAAAGGUUGUGUCGACAGUCUGUCCAGCAGUGAUGGUUGGAUGGCGGGUCAUGUUCAGAGUAACAGCGGUACAAAAGGUGUUCAAGGCUGGAGUGUUUUAAACAAGUAGAGAAUCAGAGGUUUUUUCAGGUCUGAAGCAUAUGUGAUUCGAAGGUUGUUGCACAAUAUUCAAGGAAUUUGAUUCAAGGCUCAGUGCACAUGGGUGGAAUUGAAAGGCCAAAGAGGAAAUCAACUUGUAGAAGGAUGUUCAGGUCUCUGUUCAAGCACUUGAACAUGUUCGUGAUUUUGACAGCAAGGUUGUGUUGUUGAUAAGUUCACGAGGAGUAAAAAGAUAUGAAGUAACACGACGUC